GUCCACUAUAUGGAGAAAUGGACUGCGAUAUAAAUUCCAGUGAGUUUGGCAGGGUAAUGAAAUGAAGUUGUUCAACUAAAGCUCUAAAGAUUUGAACAUUUAAUAGGCACACAUUCUCAUAUGGUGAUUUCUUUUCCAAUUGGUGCCCAGUGCUCCCUCAAUACAAGUACUUUUUAGUAAUGAAAAAAUAAGAAUACAAUUGAUAUUAAUUGUGUGCAUUGCAAGAAUACAGACAGAUCAUGGACAUUUCACCGCCUCUAUUUCAGAUCAUGCAUUUUUCAGUUUCCUAAAGAGGUGCCAGGCAUAUUCACAUUCAGUGUGAGGAGGGAAUACAAUCACUAUUGCGGCAAUGGAUACAAUUGAAGUUUUCUCAAACAUUUAAAAGGCGCAAAAAGCAUGCCAAAUAAGCCAGAAGCCAUCUUUGGAACUAAAUUUUGUCAUUAUCCAAAAAACACUCAACAGCUUGCCAAUAUGUCUCAGUUUCACUCAGCAUGUACUGGGGCCAAGGCUGCAGUAGCUCUAUACUAUCUGAAACAAAGUACCCUGAGAUUCUGAACACACAUCACGGGGUUUGAAAUUGUUAUCAAAUCCUAGUAAGGAUUAACUUGAUAUUCAGAAAUAAAAUUUUGAAAAUUGGUUUACAAAUUCAAGAAUCAAUUCACAACUGGUAUAUCAACUAUUCACAUAUUAGCUGUAUGAAGUUUUAAAAGGAUAGCUUGAACAAUAGGUCUUCCAUGGGAUUCUUAAAGUAGGAAUCAAUCCUAAUCCAUGUGAUACUGGAAAUCAAUAGAUUUAAAGAAAUGCAAUGCCCAUAUGGUGCUGCUUCUGACUUUUCACUUUAGUAUUUUGCUGAUGAUAAUCCCUUAUAAACAAUACCUUAAGAGUUCCAUUCUCUACCAU
rnacentral:misc_RNA from 1 species